rnacentral:rRNA from 1 species
AUUGAACGCUGGCGGCAGGCCUAACACAUGCAAGUCGAGCGGAUGAAGGGAGCUUGCUCCUGGAUUCAGCGGCGGACGGGUGAGUAAUGCCUAGGAAUCUGCCUGGUAGUGGGGGAUAACGUCCGGAAACGGGCGCUAAUACCGCAUACGUCCUGAGGGAGAAAGUGGGGGAUCUUCGGACCUCACGCUAUCAGAUGAGCCUAGGUCGGAUUAGCUAGUUGGUGGGGUAAAGGCCUACCAAGGCGACGAUCCGUAACUGGUCUGAGGGGAUGAUCAGUCACACUGGAACUGAGACACGGUCCAGACUCCUACGGUAGGCAGCAGUGGGGAAUAUUGGACAAUGGGCGAAAGCCUGAUCCAGCCAUGCCGCGUGUGUGAAGAAGGUCUUCGGAUUGUAAAGCACUUUAAGUUGGGAGGAAGGGCAGUAAGUUAAUACCUUGCUGUUUUGACGUUACCAACAGAAUAAGCACCGGCUAACUUCGUG